rnacentral:rRNA from 1 species
GUGUCAGCAGCCGCGGUAAGACGAGCCUCACAAACGUUAUUCGGAAUUACUGGGCUUAAAGGGUGCGUAGGCGGCGCGGAAAGUUGGGUGUGAAAUCCCUCGGCUCAACCGAGGAACUGCGCCCAAAACUACCGUGCUCGAGGAAGAUAGAGGUGAGCGGAACUCACGGUGGAGCGGUGAAAUGCGUUGAUAUCGUGAGGAACACCCGUGGCGAAAGCGGCUCACUGGGUCUUUUCUGACGCUGAUGCACGAAAGCUAGGGGAGCAAACGGGAUUAGAUACCCCCGUAGUCC